rnacentral:rRNA from 1 species
CGUAACGAUGACACCAGCGAUUAGUCGGUGUUAAUAUACGACCCGACUAGCAGCUUCCGGGAAACCAAAGUUUUUCGUUUCCGGGGGAAGUAUGGUUGCAAAGCUGAAACUUAAAGGAAUUGACGGAAGGGCACCACCAGGAGUGGAGCCUGCGGCUUAAUUUGACUCAACACGGGAAAACUCACCCGGCCCGGACACCGUAAGGAUUGACAGACUGAGAGCUCUUUCUUAAUUCGGUGGGUGGUGGUGCAUGGCUGUUCUUAGUUGGUGGAGCGAUUUGUCUGGUUAAUUCCGAUAACGAACGAGACUCUGGCCUAUUAAAUAGUCGGUAUAUCCAGAAAAGUUUACCGUACUUCUUAGAGGGACAAACGGCGUCUAGCCGCGUGAAAUAGAGCAAUAACAGGUCUGUGAUGCCCUUAGAUGUCCGGGGCUGCACGCGCGCUACACUGAAGGAAUCAACAUGCUUCUCAACCUUGCCCGGAAGGGCUAGGUAACCCGUUGAAACUCCUUCGUGAUUGGGAUAGGGAAUUGCAGUUAUUUCCCUUGAACGAGGAAUUCCCAGUAAGUGCGGGUCAUCAGCUCGCGCUGAUUACGUCCCUGCCCUUUGUACACACCGCCCGUCGCUACUACCGAUUGGAAGUAGACGAGAGGUCUCGGGAUCGAUUCCUGGGCUGCCUUCCGGUAGCCCAGGACAUUGAGAACUUGAUCUAUCGCCUAGUUCUAGA